rnacentral:rRNA from 1 species
GUUUUUUCAAAAACAUAGCCCAAAGAUUUAUUUUGGGUAAAUUCUGCCCAGCGUAAUUUAUUAGCGGCCGCAGUACUUUGACUGUGCUAAGGUAGCAUAAUCAAUUGGCUUUUAAUUGUAGUCUGGAAUGAAAGGACUAAUAGGGGUUAGCUGUCUCUAUACUAUUAUUUUGAAUUUAUUUAUUAAGUGAAAAUACUUAUACAAAGAAAAAAGACGAGAAGACCCUUAGAAUUUUAAUAAAAUAUUUAAUAAUUUUUUUUUGUUGGGGCGACAUUGAAACAAUUAAACUUUCAUUAACAAUCAAGACAUUUAGGUUUGAAAGAAUAAAUUACCUUAGGGAUAACAGCAUAAUUAAUUAUUUAGUUUGUGACCUCGAUGUUGGACUAGGAACUAGAAGAUUAACCGUCUAAAUAGAUGUCGUCGA